CAGUCGCCACGGGAAUACGUAGGGCGCAAGCGUUAAUCGGAAUUACUGGGCGUAAAGCGUGCGCAGGCGGUUUUGUAAGUCUGUCGUGAAAUCCCCGGGCUCAACCUGGGAAUGGCGAUGGAGACUGCAAGGCUAGAAUCUGGCAGAGGGGGGUAGAAUUCCACGUGUAGCAGUGAAAUGCGUAGAUAUGUGGAGGAACACCGAUGGCGAAGGCAGCCCCCUGGGCUAAGAUUGUCGCUCAUGCACGAAAGCGUGGGGAGCAAACAGGAUUAGAUACCCCUGUAGUCCCUGUCUCUUAUAC
rnacentral:rRNA from 1 species